AACGCGAAGAACCUUACCUACUCUUGAAUCCACGGAAUCUUGCAGAGAUGUGAGAGUGCCUUCGGGACCCGUGAGACAGGUGCUGCAUGGCUGUCGUCAGCUCGUGUCGUGAGAUGUUGGGUUAAGUCCCGUAACGAGCGCAACCCUUAUCCUUAGUUACCAUCGAGUAAAGUCGGGGACUUUAAGGAGACUGCUGGUGAUAAACCGGAGGAAGGUGGGGAUGACGUCAAGUCCUCAUGGCCCUUACGAGUAGGGCUACACACGUGCUACAAUGGUCGGUACAAAGGGAAGCGAACCUGCGAAGGGGAGCGGAUCUCAAAAAGCCGAUCGUAGUCCGGAUUGGAGUCUGCAACUCGACUCCAUGAAGUUGGAAUCGCUAGUAAUCGCGGAUCAGCACGCCGCGGUGAAUACGUUCCCGGGCCUUGUACACACCGGAGUA
rnacentral:rRNA from 1 species